UACGUAGGGGGCAAGCGUUGUCCGGAAUCAUUGGGCGUAAAGCGCGCGUAGGCGGCCCGGUAAGUCCGCUCUGAAAGUCCAAGGCUCAACCUUGGGAUGCGGGUGGAUACUGCCGGGCUAGAGUCCGGAAGAGGUGAGUGGAACUCCUAGUGUAGAGGUGGAAUUCGUAGAUAUUAGGAAGAACACCAGUGGCGAAGGCGGCUCACUGGUCCGGUACUGACGCUGAGGUGCGAAAGCGUGGGGAGCAAACAGG
rnacentral:rRNA from 1 species